rnacentral:lncRNA from 1 species
UAUGCUCUGUUGGUAGUAUUUAGCUUUGUUAGUUGUUUUUACCUAUUUUUCACCCUAGUUAGAGGUUUGUGAGCAUUUGGAUUAGUGUAGGAUGAUUUUACGCUCGUGCUGAAGGGCCGAGUGAAUUUUUACAAUAGUUAUUAAACCGAGUUGUAUAGUAAGAUGUAUUAGAUUUUAUUGGGUUUGUUAUGAUUUAAAACUUGUUAAGGCUUCUUGAGAGCCCAAUAAUUGUUAAUGGGCCGCUUGGGAGUCCAACUAAAAUUUUUAUGUGUGAUGUUUAGUCCCACAUUGGAAAUCAAAAGGGUGUUUGUGAUUUUUAUAUAUUCCUUUGUUCUCAAGCUAAUUACUUGGAAGAAAGUGAGAGUAAUGCUCUCGUUUAAAUACACGCACGCACGGCACGAGCACGAGCCGUGCGGCUAGUAGCGCGCGUGGUUUAUACACCCGGUUAUUUUAUUUUAUUUUAUUUUUUCGGUUUUAUCUUUAUUUUAAUCCUUAUCUUUAUCCUUAUCCUAAUCUUGAUCAUUAUCUGUACACCCGGUUAUUUUAUUUUAUUUUUUCGAUUUUAUCUUUUUAAUUCUUAUCUUUAUCCUUAUCUUAAUCCUGAUCAUUAUCCGUAUAAUCUUAGGCUUAUCUUGUUCUACACGGAUUUGACGCGUUGAAGCAAGAUUCUCGCCUAGGUUAUAAAUAUGGGGCGAAGUUGCACUAGUUAAUUAAUAACCCGAGCAUACCUAAAGCCUUUCGUCUUUUUCUGCUUUCUGGAUUUUCGCCGAGUUUUCUUUUACUGGAUUUGAAGCUUGUUGGGUUCGUCAUGCGCCACCUUGAAAGCAUGCCGAUGGGGUGGAACGUGGUCGUUGUAUCGUUAGGAGUAAUUGCUAGGAAGCCUCGCACGUGGAGGGGCAAUUUCGCUUCUAGGACAGUGCUCUGCACGCUUCGAUCCACAGGCCUUAUCUAAAUCUUUUUCUUUAUAGUAUUUGUUAUUUAAUUUCUUUUUCGGAAUAUUUCGAAACUUGUAAUUAAAUUUCCAAAUUGGUUUUUAAAGAAUAUUGUAAUAAAAUAUCAUAAAGAUUUUCCAACAAGAUGCUGUCAGAGUUGAUGGUGAUCCAGAAUCCUUGAGUUUUGCAUCAGAUUGUGCUUGGGACACAUGCGUUACAGUUUUAUGAUAUG